GACGUAGGGCGCGAGCGUUGUCCGGAUUUAUUGGGCGUAAAGAGCUCGUAGGCGGCUUGUCGCGUCGGCUGUGAAAUCCCGUGGCUCAACUGCGGGUCUGCAGCCGAUACGGGCAGGCUAGAGUUCGGUAGGGGAGACUGGAAUUCCUGGUGUAGCGGUGAAAUGCGUAGAUAUCAAGAGGAACACCUGCGGCGAAGGCGGGUUGCUGGGCUGACACUGACGCUGAAGCGCGAAAGCCAGGGGAGCGAACGGG
rnacentral:rRNA from 1 species